AUAGAGUCAAGUGAAUAAGUGCAUCAGGCGGAUGCCUUGGCGAUGAUAGGCGACGAAGGACGUGUAAGCCUGCGAAAAGCGCGGGGGAGCUGGCAAUAAAGCUAUGAUUCCGCGAUGUCCGAAUGGGGAAACCCACUGCAUUCUGUGCAGUAUCCUAAGUUGAAUACAUAGGCUUAGAGAAGCGAACCCGGAGAACUGAACCAUCUAAGUACCCGGAGGAAAAGAAAUCAACCGAGAUUCCGCAAGUAGUGGCGAGCGAACGCGGAGGAGCCUGUACGUAAUAACUGUCGAGAUAGAAGAACAAGCUGGGAAGCUUGACCAUAGCGGGUGACAGUCCCGUAUUCGAAAUCUCAACAGCGGUACUAAGCGUACGAAAAGUAGGGCGGGACACGUGAAAUCCUGUCUGAAUAUGGGGGGACCAUCCUCCAAGGCUAAAUACUCAUCAUCGACCGAUAGUGAACCAGUACCGUGAGGGAAAGGCGAAAAGAACCCCGGGAGGGGAGUGAAACAGAACCUGAAACCUGAUGCAUACAAACAGUGGGAGCGCCCUAGUGGUGUGACUGCGUACCUUUUGUAUAAUGGGUCAACGACUUACAUUCAGUAGCGAGCUUAACCGGAUAGGGGAGGCGUAGGGAAACCGAGUCUUAAUAGGGCGAUGAGUUGCUGGGUGUAGACCCGAAACCGAGUGAUCUAUCCAUGGUCAGGUUGAAGGUGCCGUAACAGGUACUGGAGGACCGAACCCACGCAUGUUGCAAAAUGCGGGGAUGAGCUGUGGGUAGGGGUGAAAGGCUAAACAAACUCGGAGAUAGCUGGUUCUCCCCGAAAACUAUUUAGGUAGUGCCUCGAGCAAGACACUGAUGGGGGUAAAGCACUGUUAUGGCUAGGGGGUUAUUGCAACUUACCAACCCAUGGCAAACUCAGAAUACCAUCAAGUGGUUGCUCGGGAGACAGACAGCGGGUGCUAACGUCCGUUGUCAAGAGGGAAACAACCCAGACCGCCGGCUAAGGUCCCAAAUGAUAGAUUAAGUGGUAAACGAAGUGGGAAGGCACAGACAGCCAGGAUGUUGGCUUAGAAGCAGCCAUCAUUUAAAGAAAGCGUAAUAGCUCACUGGUCGAGUCGUCCUGCGCGGAAGAUGUAACGGGGCUCAAAUCUAUAACCGAAGCUGCGGAUGCCGGUUUACCGGCAUGGUAGGGGAGCGUUCUGUAGGCUGAUGAAGGUGCAUUGUAAAGUGUGCUGGAGGUAUCAGAAGUGCGAAUGUUGACAUGAGUAGCGAUAAAGCGGGUGAAAAGCCCGCUCGCCGAAAGCCCAAGGUUUCCUACGCAACGUUCAUCGGCGUAGGGUAAGUCGGCACCUAAGGCGAGGCAGAAAUGCGUAGUCGAUGGGAAACAGGUUAAUAUUCCUGUACUUGAUUCAAAUGCGAUGUGGGGACGGAGAAGGUUAGGUUGGCAAGCUGUUGGAAUAGCUUGUUUAAGCCGGUAGGUGGAAGACUUAGGCAAAUCCGGGUUUUCUUAACACCGAGAAGUGAUGACGAGUGUCUACGGACACGAAGCAACCGAUACCACGCUUCCAGGAAAAGCCACUAAGCUUCAGUUUGAAUCGAACCGUACCGCAAACCGACACAGGUGGGCAGGAUGAGAAUUCUAAGGCGCUUGAGAGAACUCGGGAGAAGGAACUCGGCAAAUUGAUACCGUAACUUCGGGAGAAGGUAUGCCCUCUAAGGUUAAGGACUUGCUCCGUAAGCCCCGGAGGGUCGCAGAGAAUAGGUGGCUGCGACUGUUUAUUAAAAACACAGCACUCUGCCAACACGAAAGUGGACGUAUAGGGUGUGACGCCUGCCCGGUGCCGGAAGGUUAAUUGAAGAUGUGCAAGCAUCGGAUCGAAGCCCCGGUAAACGGCGGCCGUAACUAUAACGGUCCUAAGGUAGCGAAAUUCCUUGUCGGGUAAGUUCCGACCCGCACGAAUGGCGUAACGAUGGCCACACUGUCUCCUCCCGAGACUCAGCGAAGUUGAAGUGGUUGUGAAGAUGCAAUCUACCCGCUGCUAGACGGAAAGACCCCGUGAACCUUUACUGUAGCUUUGCAUUGGACUUUGAAGUCACUUGUGUAGGAUAGGUGGGAGGCUUGGAAGCAGAGACGCCAGUCUCUGUGGAGUCGUCCUUGAAAUACCACCCUGGUGUCUUUGAGGUUCUAACCCAGACCCGUCAUCCGGGUCGGGGACCGUGCAUGGUAGGCAGUUUGACUGGGGCGGUCUCCUCCCAAAGCGUAACGGAGGAGUUCGAAGGUUACCUAGGUCCGGUCGGAAAUCGGACUGAUAGUGCAAUGGCAAAAGGUAGCUUAACUGCGAGACCGACAAGUCGGGCAGGUGCGAAAGCAGGACAUAGUGAUCCGGUGGUUCUGUAUGGAAGGGCCAUCGCUCAACGGAUAAAAGGUACUCCGGGGAUAACAGGCUGAUUCCGCCCAAGAGUUCAUAUCGACGGCGGAGUUUGGCACCUCGAUGUCGGCUCAUCACAUCCUGGGGCUGUAGUCGGUCCCAAGGGUAUGGCUGUUCGCCAUUUAAAGUGGUACGUGAGCUGGGUUUAAAACGUCGUGAGACAGUUUGGUCCCUAUCUGCAGUGGGCGUUGGAAGUUUGACGGGGGCUGCUCCUAGUACGAGAGGACCGGAGUGGACGAACCUCUGGUGUACCGGUUGUAACGCCAGUUGCAUAGCCGGGUAGCUAAGUUCGGAAGAGAUAAGCGCUGAAAGCAUCUAAGCGCGAAACUCGCCUGAAGAUGAGACUUCCCUUGCGGUUUAACCGCACUAAAGGGUCGUUCGAGACCAGGACGUUGAUAGGUGGGGUGUGGAAGCGCGGUAACGCGUGAAGCUAACCCAUACUAAUUGCCCGUGAGGCUUGACUCUAU
rnacentral:rRNA from 1 species